rnacentral:misc_RNA from 1 species
GAUCAACGCCGCCUGCGAUCAUGUCGCCGUCGGCGGCUUUCGGGACGGCGUGUUGCAAGCCUUCGAUCAGGCUGCGCGCGAGAUCGAGGCUAUCGCCCCGUCCACGAUAGAGCCGCAGGCCGAGGCCGAACCCGUCGCGGCACUCCGUGCCGUCGACACGGUUCCUAUGGAGGCUUCCAAUGAAGUGGGGAUUGCCGUUGCCGAUGAGGAACUGUUCGACGUAGCGGUCGC